GACGAACGCUGGCGGCGUGCCUAAUACAUGCAAGUUGAGCGCUGAAGGUUGGUACUUGUACCAACUGGAUGAGCAGCGAACGGGUGAGUAACGCGUGGGGAAUCUGCCUUUGAGCAGGGGACAACAUUUGGAAACGAAUGCUAAUACCGCAUAAAAACUUUAAACACAAGUUUUAAGUUUGAAAGAUGCAAUUGCAUCACUCAAAGAUGAUCCCGCGUUGUAUUAGCUAGUUGGUGAGGUAAAGGCUCACCAAGGCGAUGAUACAUAGCCGACCUGAGAGGGUGAUCGGCCACAUUGGGACUGAGACACGGCCCAAACUCCUACGGGAGGCAGCAGUAGGGAAUCUUCGGCAAGGGACGAAAGUCUGACCGAGCAACGCCGCGGGAGUGAAGAAGGUUGUCGGAUCGUAAAACUCUGUUGGUAGAGAAGAACGUUGGUGAGAGUGGAAAGCUCACAAAGUGACGGUAACUACCCAGAAAGGGACGGCUAACUACGUG
rnacentral:rRNA from 1 species